ACAGCUCUACGAUCUUUAAGGACCCCUCCAACCCAACCAUCCCACAGCUCUACAAUCUUUAAGGACCCCUCCAACCCAUCCCACAGCUCUACAACCUUUAAGGACCCCUCCAACCCAACCAUCCCACGGCUCUACGAUCUUUAAGGACCCCUCCAACCCAUCCCACGGCUCUACGAUCUUUAAGGACCCCUCCAUCCCAACUGUUGCAUGGUUCUCUGUUCCUCCUGUUGGCACUGUGCACCCUUUGCCAAUGUGGCCGUGCCGUGGCUGUGCCGGGGCCGCUCCACAGCAUUGCCAGCACAGCCUCCCCCACGCUGCACGUGCAGCCCCG
rnacentral:lncRNA from 1 species